rnacentral:rRNA from 1 species
CCUACGGGAGGCAGCAGUGAGGAAUAUUGGUCAAUGGGCGGAAGCCUGAACCAGCCAAGCCGCGUGAGGGACGAAGGUCCUAGGAGUUGUAAACCUCUUUUGUACGGGAGCAAAGGCACUUACGCGUCCCCGGCUGAGUGUACCUGAAGAACAAGCAUCGGCUAACUCCGUGCCAGCAGCCGCGGUAAUACGGAGGAUGCGAGCGUUAUCCGGAUUUAUUGGGUUUAAAGGGUGCGCGGGCGGUCUGUUAAGUCAGCGGUCAAAACCCGGGGCGCAACCCCGGACUGCCGUUGAACCGGGCAGGCGUGAGUGUGUGAGAAGGAUGCGGAAU